ACAGGCGGACAGCUAAUGUCAAAGCGUAUGGUUUUGCUAACCUCUUCGUCCUGGAGAAGAAAGACCUGUUUGACAUCCUGGUCCACUACCCAGAGUCUCAGAAAGUGUUGGCCAGGAAGGGAAAGAAACUGAUGAAGGCGAAGGGUCCCGCAGCAGCUAAAGCAGAUGACGACAAGAAGAAGGGGCUCGCACUGUUCGGACUCAAACCCCCCACACCCAAACUGCUGCGAGCCUUCGGCGGAAAGAACAUGCUUGAAAGAAUGAAGGCUGUUUCUGCAAACCAAUAAGGAUUGUUGAGAGCUUUUUAUUUACAACUCCUUUUUGGGAGUGAAUGUACAGUUUACUUUUGUACUGAAUGUGUAUUUUGUGUCAUUUUAAGAUAUGUUUUUUUUUUUAUUACAAACAUUUGGUUUGAUAUGCUCAGACAACUCAACAGAACCUCCCUAUCUAAGACAACAAGACAUAGAACAAUGUUACCAAAAUAUUUGAUGAGAUGUGCAAUAUCUGUGUGUGAAAACUACCGCCCUUAGUGGAUACUGCUUGUUGUAUAUUUAUAUAUUUAUCCACCUUGAUUUGUUUGUCUGCUUUUCUCUGCUAUAUUAUUU